rnacentral:rRNA from 1 species
AGCGAACAUUGGCGGUAGGCUUAACACAUGCAAGUCGAGCGAGGCGUAAUAGUCGAGCGGCGAACGGGUGCGUAAUACAUGGGAAUCUACCUCGAAGUGGGGGAUAACGUUCAGAAAUGGACGCUAAUACCGCAUAAUCCAUAUUGGGAAAGCGUUGCAGCGCGUUGAGAUGAGCCCAUGGCUGAUUAGCUAGUUGGUGAGGUAAUGGCUCACCAAGGCGACGAUCAGUAGCUGGUCUGAGAGGAUGACCAGCCACACUUGAACUGAGACACGGUCAAGACUCCGACGGGAGGCAGCAGUGAGGAAUUUUGCGCAAUGGGGGCAACCCUGACGCAGCCAUACCGCGUGAGGGAUGAAGGUCUUCGGAUUGUAAAGCUCUUUCGGCGGGGACGACGAUGACGGUACCCGCAAAAGAAGUCACGGCUAACUUCGUGCCAGCCGCCGCGGUAA